UUUUGGUUAUUAACAUCUGACUUGUUUAGAUUGUGAUCGGGGAAUACAGUCUGUGUACACAUUGUGGUGGAAGCUAUGACUACUGCACAGCUUCCUCUUCUGGAACGAAGGAGUUAGUCUCCCAGCUUCUGGGAGAGCUGCUGGAGGAUGGCCCCAGCUGUCUGCUCUCCUAGGAAGUUAUGUGGGCUAAGGAGAUUGCCUUGCCCGAUCAAGACCAUGCUUCCUUCAAUGAACAGCCUGCAUGCAAUGGCUGCUCAGGGUGGGAGUGUAAAAGACUGGUUUGUUACCAACUCAAGACCCUUCUGAAGGACCACCCAGCUCCAGCACUCUCCACGGAGCUGGCAGAGGCCUCCGUGGCAUGGCAUGGCAGCACACCUCUUCCUCCGCGCACACCUGCCUCAUCCCAUCCAUUCCACAGGUGCCGAUCCCAGCAGUGUUCCCUAAUAAAAUCCCUGCACCCCAGUCUGCAUCUCAGAGCCUGGCUCCAGGAGAUCCAGCCUACCACCCCAAUCUUUCACAUGCAUUGAGUCUCCUUGAAUCGGCCCAUUCUUUCAUUAUGUGGAACUAAUGAAGGCCUCGCAGAGUCCCCGCUCAGGAAUAGGGCCCUUAAAUAAAACAUGUUUCAUUGAUCAA